GGGGGGGGGGGGGGGGGGCUUGGCUCCUGCCCUGGCUGGAGCAUCUCCCAUGGGAUGAUGUAAUUUUAUCAGCCAUGCCCUGGGACUCAGUGGCCAUGAACAGGAGAUAUCUCCUGGAGGGAGGAUGGGCUGUGGGAAGAUAAAGAUGAUUGCCCAGCUGGUUUAAAGCUGGCCCAUGAGCAGAUAAUAUGUGCCAGGAGAUCAGGGGCACUGCCCCACCCGGCUGCAGCAGAUGGGACAGAAUCCACAUUUCUGGCCACAUCCUGUAUUGCAGCCCAAGACUGUUGUUCUCUCCACAGGUGCCUUUGCCAUUGUCCCACCCUCUGCAGCCAUCCCACAUUCCCUGCAGUGCACACCUGCCUUUGUCUGCAGGAGGGAGGGAUGUCCCUGCUGAUGAGGAGGUGGUGGCACCAUCUCCUGUCCAGCGUGAGACUUGUGACACCCAGGCUUCUGCUCUGCUGUGCAAGGUGUUUGCUCCUUCCCAAGUUUAAAUGAAGCCCUUGAGCCUGUACAAG
rnacentral:lncRNA from 12 species